GUGGAGGUUUUAGUAGGUUGGAGUCCGGCAUUACCACGCCGCUUUUCCCCAGAAGCGACCUGGUGUCCGUGCGGAUUUCCUCCACGUUAAUAAUAAUAUUUAUAAAAAAAAGUUAUUUUUCACGUAGUUGACUCAUUGCUGAUCGAUCAAGAUGGAAUCUUAGGAUCCGAAUUUUUCGCAGGAUACAAGGCUCGUUUGGAUUACGAGCGAAAACAUAUAAGUGGGGAAAUAUUUAUAUCCCCUUCGAUACAAGAGAAAAGAUAAUCGUGCGGAAACGAAGUUCGGUACCAUUACAAAUGUUCGAUUAACAUUACAAAUCUGGAGAUAAAAGAGGGAUUUAUUCCCAAAAUCGAGCCAAUCAAGGGAGUCUAUUUUGGUAAUGUAGGUGCGAAGAACCAUAAGGGACAAGGAUAUACAAGAAUAAUAAAUACCACAUCGAAAGAUUACGAAUUUAUCACACCUACAAUAGUAAUUAAAGAAUUUGAGAACCUCGCCUCGCCGCCUGAAGUUCCGUCUUCUUGAUUAUCUCACCUUUUUUUGGACACACGGAGUCUGCUGAAGUUUCGUCUUCUUGAUUAUCUUGUUUACGCUAUUUUUAAUUUUCCACAUCCUUGAGACACGUAGAUGCUGCUGAAGUUUCGUCUUCUUAAUUUCUCAUGUUUCGUUUGGUGUUAGUGACAUACGAGGUUAUGUUGGAUCAUGGAUACUGAUAUGUCUGAAGCUGUAGAAUGUGAGAAGAAGAAAAAAAGUCGUAGGCCGUUCAAACCUCCUCCGAAACGUUCUAGGAAACGUGGUCGUCGUGGCGGCGCAAAAGCUCGUGGGCAGAGGUUAAGGAGGCUGGAGGGAUCGUCUUCCACAGAGGGUAGCAAUAGUGUGGCUCCAGCCCCAUCGUCGAGUCUCGGUGAUCCUUUUGGUUAUUGAUCUAACCUUCUCCGAUGAGGACAUCCUUCAGU